rnacentral:rRNA from 1 species
GACGAACGCUGGUGGCGUGCUUAACACAUGCAAGUCGAACGGAAAGGCCCUGCUUUUGUGGGGUGCUCGAGUGGCGAACGGGUGAGUAACACGUGAGUAACCUGCCCUUGACUUUGGGAUAACUUCAGGAAACUGGGGCUAAUACCGGAUAGGAGCUCCUGCUGCAUGGUGGGGGUUGGAAAGUUUCGGCGGUUGGGGAUGGACUCGCGGCUUAUCAGCUUGUUGGUGGGGUAGUGGCUUACCAAGGCUUUGACGGGUAGCCGGCCUGAGAGGGUGACCGGCCACAUUGGGACUGAGAUACGGCCCAGACUCCUACGGGAGGCAGCAGUGGGGAAUAUUGCACAAUGGGCGGAAGCCUGAUGCAGCAACGCCGCGUGCGGGAUGACGGCCUUCGGGUUGUAAACCGCUUUCGCCUGUGACGAAGCGUGAGUGACGGUAAUGGGUAAAGAAGCACCGGCUAACUACGUGCCAGCAGCCGCGGUGAUACGUAGGGUGCGAGCGUUGUCCGGAUUUAUUGGGCGUAAAGGGCUCGUAGGUGGUUGAUCGCGUCGGAAGUGUAAUCUUGGGGCUUAACCCUGAGCGUGCUUUCGAUACGGGUUGACUUGAGGAAGGUAGGGGAGAAUGGAACUCCUGGUGGAGCGGUGGAAUGCGCAGAUAUCAGGAGGAACACCAGUGGCGAAGGCGGUUCUCUGGGCCUUUCCUGACGCUGAGGAGCGAAAGCGUGGGGAGCGAACAGGCUUAGAUACCCUGGUAGUCCACGCUGUAAACGGUGGGUACUAGGUGUGGGGUCCAUUCCACGGGUUCCGUGCCGUAGCUAACGCUUUAAGUACCCCGCCUGGGGAGUACGGCCGCAAGGCUAAAACUCAAAGGAAUUGACGGGGCCCCGCACAAGCGGCGGAGCAUGCGGAUUAAUUCGAUGCAACGCGUAGAACCUUACCUGGGUUUGACAUGGAUCGGGAGUGCUCAGAGACGGGUGUGCCUCUUUUGGGGUCGGUUCACAGGUGGUGCAUGGCUGUCGUCAGCUCGUGUCGUGAGAUGUUGGGUUAAGUCCCGCAACGAGCGCAACCCUUGUUCACUGUUGCCAGCACGUUAUGGUGGGGACUCAGUGGAGACCGCCGGGGUCAACUCGGAGGAAGGUGGGGAUGUCGUCAAGUCAUCAUGCCCCUUAUGUCCAGGGCUUCACGCAUGCUACAAUGGCUGGUACAGAGAGUGGCGAGCCUGUGAGGGUGAGCGAAUCUCGGAAAGCCGGUCUCAGUUCGGAUUGGGGUCUGCAACUCGACCUCAUGAAGUCGGAGUCGCUAGUAAUCGCAGAUCAGCAACGCUGCGGUGAAUACGUUCCCGGGGCU